CCUACGGGAGGCAGCAGUGGGGGAUAUUGCACAAUGGGGGAAACCCUGAUGCAGCGACGCCGCGUGAGUGAAGAAGUAUUUCGGUAUGUAAAGCUCUAUAAGCAGGGAGGAAAAUGACAGUACCUGACCAAGAAGCCCCGGCUAAAUACGUGCCAGCAGCCGCGGUAAUACGUAGGGGGCAAGCGUUAUCCGGAUUUACUGGGUGUAAAGGGAGCGUAGGCGGGGAUGUAAGGCCGGAGUGAAAGGCCGGGGCCGAACCCCCAGACUGCUUUGGAAACUGGUUGACUUGAGUGCAGGAGAGGCAGGCGGAAUUCCUAGUGUAGCGGUGAAAUGCGUAGAUAUUAGGAGGAACACCAGUGGCGAAGGCGGCUUGCUGGACUGUAACUGACGUUGAGGCGCGAAAGCGUGGGGAGCAAACAGGAUUAGAUACCCCUGUAGUC
rnacentral:rRNA from 1 species